rnacentral:piRNA from 1 species
UGUUUGACGGCAAUUGAUAGGGUUUCC